CAGCCGCCGCGGGAAUACGGAGGAUCCAAGCGUUAUCCGGAUUUAUUGGGUUUAAAGGGUGCGUAGGUGGCCUGUUAAGUCAGGGGUGAAAGACGGUAGCUCAACUAUCGCAGUGCCCUUGAUACUGAUGGGCUUGAAUGAACUAGAGGUAGGCGGAAUGUGACAAGUAGCGGUGAAAUGCAUAGAUAUGUCACAGAACACCAAUUGCGAAGGCAGCUUACUAUGGUUUGAUUGACACUGAGGCACGAAAGCGUGGGGAUCAAACAGGAUUAGAGACCCGUGUAGUCCCUGUCUCUUAUAA
rnacentral:rRNA from 1 species